rnacentral:rRNA from 1 species
UACGAAGGGUGCAAGCGUUACUCGGAAUUACUGGGCGUAAAGCGUGCGUAGGUGGUUGUUUAAGUCUGUUGUGAAAGCCCAGGGCUCAACCUGGGAAUUGCAGUGGAUACUGGGCGACUAGAGUGUGGUAGAGGGUAGUGGAAUUCCCGGUGUAGCAGUGAAAUGCGUAGAGAUCGGGAGGAACAUCCAUGGCGAAGGCAGCUACCUGGACCAACACUGACACUGAGGCACGAAAGCGUGGGGAGCAAACAGG